rnacentral:rRNA from 3 species
CGUAAACAAAACGACUCUCGGCAACGGAUAUCUCGGCUCUCGCAUCGAUGAAGAACGUAGCGAAAUGCGAUACUUGGUGUGAAUUGCAGAAUCCCGUGAACCAUCGAGUCUUUGAACGCAAGUUGCGCCCAAAGCCUUUUGGUUGAGGGCACGUCUGCCUGGGU